UCAGAAGUGAAAGAACUUGAUUCAGCAUGUGAGGAAUGUCACAGGGAAGAGGCACAAAUCAUGAAGAGGGGGACAAAGCAUGGGCACCUUUGAACUAGAGCUUGCCAUGAGCUGCAUAAUGUGAUCCUGAUGUAGAAUCUCACCAAAGUUCAGAGCAUGAAAAGACUGGAAAAGAUCAUUAUACAUUUUCGUCUUUGAUGGUGAACUAACAAAGGGCCAAAUUCUGAGCUUUGGAAGUAGUCUUGUUGGCAUUAAUGGGACUAUUGCUGGUAUUCAAAAUGAUGUGAAUGAAUAUAAAGCUUGCUAGUGCUGAGAAUGUCCCCUUUUGUUGUGGUACAGCAAGUGUCUGGAGUACAUUAGAGGAUUGGAACAAAACCUGAGGUGAUACUGGCAAUUCCCUGUGGCUUCUGGUGCUAAUAGCGAUGGCAGCUUGAAGUAGAAAUAUUAAAAAGU